rnacentral:lncRNA from 1 species
CUAUCUUCCCCAUGGCUCUGCUAGAAACCUUUACCAUCCCCACCUUUUUUCACAGUUAUUAUUAGCACACCAUCGUCCUACUAUUUGCUCAUAAAUGAACCUGAACUGUGACUUGUUGCCGUGGUCCUAGCAUGGAGAGCAGUGAGUAACGUCUGGAACAUUUGGCUUAUUGGGCUGGUCCUCCUGAUGGUGUUAUUUCCUCUUGAGCCCUCCUUCUGUGAUUGGGUGAUACUGAUGCCUGGGUCAGGGUGGGAGUAGGAGGCAUAUCUGAGAAAUGGCCUGCCUAGCAUCUGUUAUUUGGGGAUGGAGGCACAUGUGGUAGAGCCAUGGUGAAAUGUGGCUGGAAGGGUCCCUUCCUACCAGCUUACAGCAGUGGACACUGACAUUUGAGUUUUAUGUACCAGUGUGGGCUAGUAUGGACUCAUUGGAGGAUGCUAGCAAGAAUCGAUGAGCCAAUAGGGUGUGUCUGCGAGAUUUUUCUGCACAGCACCAUGUGUGAGUUUGGUGACAACUGUUCCAGCCUUUUAAGGUCAUUGCUUUCCAAGCUAUUGAAGAACUCUCUUUAAGGUAAAAAUCAUUGUGAACCUCCACAUGAUAGUGAUUAUAUUUUUAAGGGUUGUUGAAGGAGAACAUAGGACCUAGACCAAAAACUAUAAAUUCAGUUACUUUUUAACAUGAAUUUGCAUUGUAUUCAUCAGCAUAGCACUUACAUUAGAGAAAUAGUGCACCUGUGUGUGAAGCAUGUGUUCUAUCUGCAAGUUUGGUGCACUGGUGGAUGCUCAAUUCUCUGUAAUAAUUUUAAGGUCUCCCAGAUUUGGGAAUCACCAGUGGGAUCCACAUCUUAGUAGGUCUCUUGCCUGAGUUGAAACCAGCUCUUCUCUCUGUACUCUCUUUAGCAGGGAAUGUGAGGACAUGGGCUUGGGGCUUCUGGGAAGCCUGCAUUUGGGGUAAGUGGAAAUAUUGCUAGGUUUUACUUAUUUUUUUUAUUUUUAUUUAAAGAUUUUAUUUAUUUAUUCAUGAGACACACACACACACACACACACACACACACACACACAGAGGCAGAGACACAGGUAGAGGGUGAAGCUGACUCCAUGCAGGGAGCCCGAUGUGGGACUGGAUCCUAGGUCUCCAGGAUCACACCCUGGGCUGAAGGUGGUGCUAAACUGCUGAGCCACACGGGCUGCCCUAUUACUAGGCUUUUAAAAUAUUUUGUCUUCAACCCACCUUUCUUGAUUUUGGAGGGGUAUCUUAUUCAAGUAGGAAUGGGUGAAAAA